rnacentral:rRNA from 1 species
UACAGAGGGUGCGAGCGUUAAUCGGAAUUACUGGGCGUAAAGCGCACGUAGGCGGCUUGGUAUGUCGGGUGUGAAAUCCCCGGGCUCAACCUGGGAACUGCAUCCGAAACUGCCUUGCUCGAGUAUGGGAGAGGGAAGUGGAAUUUCCGGUGUAGCGGUGAAAUGCGUAGAUAUCGGAAGGAACAUCAGUGGCGAAGGCGACUUCCUGGACCAAUACUGACGCUCAGGUGCGAAAGCGUGGGGAGCAAACAGGAUUAGAAACCCUUG